CUGAGGGCUGGUCACUGGGGUCUGGGCUGCUCUGCAGGGUGGUUCCAUCAAGUGUUGCCUCCAUCCUGGGUACCAAGCCAUAGGGCUGAGCUCUGUAACAGUGCAACAGCCCCUAGCACUCUGAUAAUAUCAGGGCCUGCUGACAGCAUACAGAGGACAGAGCAGGAGUUGAUUCCUCCUGUUGUGCCUGGUCAGCAGUCAGUGAGCCAGGAGAGCAGCAAGCAGCUCUGAGGGCAGAUACAGUGCUAAAAAGACCCCUGAAAAAAGUUAAUGAAAAGCAAUUACCAAGGAGUGCUUUAAUGGAAAGGAGCUGCGUGGGAGCCAGCCUUGUCCUUGUGGAUGUCGAAGGGCUCUCCCAUAAGGCUGUUACCAUGACAGAUCGCUGCUCAGCGGCGUGAGUGUGACGUGGGCUGUGGAAGAAAGGAGGCAUUGAGAGGCACUGAAUGUUAUCUUGUCAAGGUACAGUUGUCAGCAGCAAUGCCAACUCUUCCCCUAUGAAUACCAGUGCAUCAUCAGCCCUGCAUGGAGUGUUUCAGCUCAGCAGCACUGUGUGUGUCCCCAGGCAUUGGCAGCUGGUACUGAAGGUGGUGGCCCCAGGCUGGCAGCAGUGAGUGCUGCUUUUCCAUGCACAAAAUGCAAUCAGCAUCCAGCUGCUAUUACCAGCACUGCUCAUUAUUGAUGAUGGCAGCUAUCACACCUCUAUGUGAUGUGGACAGCAUCUCUCAGCCCUGCCCUGAGCCCAGUGCUGGCUCGUCCCCAUCCAGGUGCCUCCAAGCAUCCCCCAGAGCUGCUUUGGGGUUAGACCUGUGUCCUUAUAACUUGCAAACACCACUGUGCAGCCUUCUGGAGCUCUGAGAUGCACAGGUCCUGUUUUGCACAGUGCACUGAAAGGGAAGUAAUGGAUGUCUCCAGCUUAAUGGUCUAAAAGUCUGUCUUGUGCAGAAAACCCAUCGUCCCCAAAUCCAUUUUCAUUUAUAACAUCAUGAGCAGUUCUACUGGCAGCGGUUUUUCCUUCAUGUAUUUAUUUAUUGGAAGGAGAAAUUCCCCAUCCUAAUAUAAUGCUCUUGCUUGGAUUGAGUGGCUGAAAUUUGGAGUUCUGAAGCUCCAGCCCUCUGCUCAGCAUCUCCCCAUGUCCUGCGGGAAUGGAGCAUCUCAAUGGGUAAAGGCAGAAAGGCAAAGCAGCUGCCAGAAAACAGAAAGAAGCAGAGCUCACCAACCAAACCCAGAGCACCUUUGGUAUGAGCUGUGCUGAAAAUCCAAGAGGAGCCCCGUGUUGACCCAAAGGAUGAGCUGAUACCAACCAGGUCCCAGCUGGCCCUGCCCAUGUGGUGGUGGUGGUUGGUGCGGUGCUGCUGGAGGAGCAGGGCAUUUGUCAUCGUGUCGGUGAUGACAAAUGGCUCUGCUGAGUAGAGAAAUGGGUUAUUGAUUUGUAAGCGGAAGUGUGGGUGAGAUGGUGCCUGCUGUGUCCACUGCUCCCAGCAGCACUGGGGACAUGAAGGAAGAGAUGCAGGCAGCCCCACUGUGCUGCAACCACCCCCCAGCAGAGUCCUCUGCGCUCCUUCCACCCCAGCCAGGCUCCAACAGAGCACUGUCAGAGCUCGGUGCAAUGCAUACAGCUGCUGCAUGGAACCUGAGCCCUCUGCUAAGAGCUGGGGGUGUGAGAACCCACAUCCAUGAUAUGCCCUACAUUGGGGGCUGCAGCUCCCAUGGUCUUCUCCUUGGAAAGCAGCCUGUUGUCCUUUCCUUUUUUUUUUUUUUUUUCUUCUAUGUUUAGCUGCUGUUGCUUUACCCCCAUCACACCUUAAACAGCCCAAGUGCAAUUAAUCACCGUUUGCUUCUCUGUGUUUGCAUGGGAUUCCUGAUUCACAGUAAAUCCUGUGGGGGAAGAGAUGCAAUUAUGAAAGAAAUGCCUAUUAAAAGGAACUAUAUUUGCCAUAAAAAAUGUCAGGACAAUCAUCCUGUAGCUGUUUGCAGCAUUGCCAGCUGCAGUAUACAAUCCUGGCACUCUAGCCAGGCUGUGGGGAGUUGAAUAGGAGCAGGAUGGGGCAGCACACAGCUGGAAACCAGAGGAGGGAUCAAUGAUUUGCUGUCAAGUGAAAGGAUGGAUUGAGCGACUUUCUGCAGGAAUCUGCCCUUGGUCUAAUAGGAGUCAGUGUUUUCCCUAACGAU